CAUUAAACAUCACUCAAGGCAAGUCUUCCAGUUUCUUUGUGGCUCUAUGAAUUGGUAAUUGUAUGAGUUCUUUAAGAAUAUGUUGAAUUACAUGGUACAUGCUAUAAACUGUGAAAGUCAAUAUAUGACUAAGCUGCUUGAGUUAUGGAACUCAAUGUAUAUGUAAUAUAUGAUAUGAGCAUAUACUGUUUAAAGUGAUGAUGCAUGAAUGCUAUAAAGGAUUAUGAGAUAUAUGUUGAGCAUGAAACUAUGUGUCUGCAAAAAUAUAAUUUUUGUAGGUAUGAUACACAACAUGACUUUUUGUUAUCCAGGUGGUAAAGAUAGAGGCCUGUGUGCAGGAAAGUUGUUUCCUUCAAGUAGGAAUUAUAUUACAUCGAAAUGACGGUUUUUGAUGUGUUAAUGAGAAUUGUGUAAAUCUUGAGUUAUUUGAUAAAUAAAGAAUGUUUCUGUUAAGAUUGAAGUGUAUUCUUGAAAUUACUUUAAGGAAAGUAAUGUAUUAUAGAAAUGAUACUAUAUAAGAAAGGAUAUGAGUUAAGAAAUGAGUUACAUACACUCAUAUAACUCUGAUGAACUAAAUCAUAAAACAAAUAUGAUUUUGAAAUAAAAGAUAAUCGUAAAGGUUGCGAUUCAGGGAAUGAAAGAAAGAAAGACGAGAAGAAAAGUUUUAAAUUAUUCCGCAUUUUUAACUAUUUUAACAUUGAAUAAUGUUUUAAAGCUAGAACAAGAUAAUAUUAACGCACAAGAUCGGGAAGGAAAAUAGUCCCGAUUUUGGGGUUGUUACAAAUAUAGUUUAAGAAAAAGAAAAUUCUAACCAUAUUAUUUUCAUAAAUUAAUUUGUAACUAUUAUUAAAAUAUGAGUGUAGUUAUGUUUCAAGUAUAAGUAUGAUUUUAUUAUUAGUAGGUAGUACAUAUAAUUUUAGAAGAAAAUUAUUUUCUUACUAAAAUCACCUUAUCAAAUAUUAAACUAUAUUAUUAUUAUAAUAUAUAUAUAUAGGUAUAAAAUAAUACAUUAACCAAUAUAUAGUUUGAUUCAAUUGUUAAAUUAAAAUUUAAUUAUUGAAAACAAAUUACUCUUUUCAAUAAUAUAUUUAUAAAAAAGACAAUAAAAACUAAACAACAUACAAUCAUAUAAUAGGGUGAUUUGGAAUAAAAAUAAGUAAUUUAAUUUUACAAUCAUACAAUCAUAAGAUCAUCUUAUCUAAUAUUAUUUUGUUGUAAUUAUUAUUAUUAUUAAAUUCAAAAUAUGAUUAUAUUACAAAUAUAAGUAAUUUUAGGAUAAGAACCCAUAGAACACAUACGAAAUAGUUUUUAUUAAAUUAGGACAAAUCAUUUAGAUAUGACUUGGAGCUAUAAUAAUAAAAGAACAAAUUAUAGGAAUCAAUAAAACAAAUUUUCAAUGUUAUCCUCAAAUAAAUCCAUUCCUUCAUAGUGAUUGAAGAAAAAUCUAAAGAAAAUAACUUAGUGCGUUUGUGAGUUUAGAGAGAUGGGAUGCGAAGAGAAAGUAUAAGAGGGGAAGGAGUGGGAAAGGAUGGGAAGGAAUUAUAGUUUUCCCUUGUCAUGUUUGUGAGUUUUAGAAAUGAAAGGAAUUGAUGCGAUUUUAAUGAUAUUUUUUCUUGUUUGUGAGUUUAGAAAGAUGGAAGAGAGGGAAAAAUAUAUAUCCAAAACGACUUAAGUCCCUUUGUUUCGGCAAGGAGGGAGUAGAAUGGAUGUGUGUAUAGAUUUACUCGAUUAUAUUGAUAGUUCGUACAUGAGUUCGGUUAAAGAACUAACAGUUGAGUUACAACAAUUGCUACAGAACAUCCUCUCCUAACCAUAGCUGCAUUGCCAUGGAAACUAAUUUCUAAACUUGCUAGGUAAUAAAAUUACAAGAAAAUAGCUUCGCUUCAUGUGUAAAAGAAUUUUACUACAAAAAAAUUAAAAUGUGAAAAUACAAAAAAUGUUGUCUUUAAUAAGUGGGAGGGGAUCUGUGAUAGGCUAAGAUUGUUGAUGGGAAGAACAUUUGUCUGAUGGACUAAUAUUGUUUUGAUUCAGGGUUACCUGUUUCAAAGCUGUAAGCAUGGAUGAUUAUUCACAUCUGGAUGGGAUGGGACUAAUUUUGAGAAGAGAAUUGAGGGUUUAUUUUGAGAAUGAUAUGUACAAUAUUCACUUGUUUAUCUAUAUUGUUAUGAAUAAAUUUCCAGCGUCUUUGAUUAUAUUCCAACCCAAAUCUAGAGUUGCUUUAAUUUGGAGAAUACAAGUGCAAGUGUAAUAAAUGAUAUAAUCAAUUAAUCUCAAUAAUUGAUAAAAAUGGCUAUCCUUUGCAUAUGAAAAUAUAAAGAAGACAAUACCAUCAAUUAUUAUGUGUAUUGUAUUGUAGCUAGGUUUUCACCAUCCGAUGUUUAAGGUUUCCCAUCAAGGUUUAGCAUUUAUCCCAUACACGUGCAUGCAUGUAAUCAUUGGUGUUUGCAGUUCCCAAAUGUUGCAUCGUCUUUUGUGCUUAUAUAAGAGUGCUAUGAAUAGCAGAAAAAUAAAUGAUUCCACUCUGUUGGUGUAAAUUACUAAAAUUUUGAUGGGUUUUUUUCCCAGGAUGUUCAAAAUUUUGGCUUAUUUUUUUUUAUUGCUUUGCUAUAUUGAGAUAUCAGGUUGUUCCAAUUGACCCUCCUAAACCUGUACGUCUUUUUCUUAAAUGUUUCUAGGAAGAAAUUGUAUAUCUAUGUGUAAAUGUGUACUCUAAAUAUCUAAUACAGCAGUUGUAGUAAAUAUUUCAGAAAUGCAAGUUUCUUUGCAAGUUUCGUUAUAUAUUUCAGAAAUAUCUAAAUAUCUAAUUUCGUUAUAUAUUUCAGAAAUGCAAGUUUCUUUGCAGUUUAAGGAAGUCAAUUUUUUUAUUGAUGGAGCACAUGAUCGAUAAACAGGUAAUACUCUCUAUCUGAUGGACUUUAUUAAUUUAUUUUACCGAAAAGUAAUUGGCUUAACCUGUGUAUGGGGAAAACCUAUCUUCUAUGCAGUUGUUGUACCAAGACAUUGGUGUCAGAAAAUAAAUUUUUUGCAGGUGCGUCAACUACGGGUCCAUGUUUAGAUGCAUUAUAUAUGGUCAUUUCCGAUUUAUUAACUUUCCAUAAAGAAUUGGGAAAUGAAAUAUUUAUGGGGAUUAAUUGAUGGGUUUAAAGAACAUGCGACGAAAGUAGUGUCAAUCAGGUUUGUCUUAUACGUAUAUAUCUGGUUCUUGCAGGGGAGCGGAUGUGACAACCUUGGAGCCUGGACAUGUAGGUGUUUGGCAAGAGGGACCAUAGUUGUUAAGGUGACGCCUAAGCGUCCAGUCGGGCCGAUACAAGCAAUGUGGUAGGGCGACUUGGUG
rnacentral:lncRNA from 1 species